UGCACGGAGAUGCCAGAUAGAAACCACAGCACACAGACGCCAUGAAAUGAAUUUACAAGUAGAUGCAAAACUGGCAGAACUGGUAUUUCAAAGAGCAUUAUGAGCACUUCAGAUGGAAAAAGAUUCUGUGGAAGUAAUAUGAACAUUCACACUGGAGAGACAUGAAUACAGAAGAAAGCAAAGCCCUGAGGCCGUAAUUUCUUCUCAUCAGAGAAACAUGAUAUGUCAGCGUUAGAGCAUCUCUGAAUCCAGAUGGUGGCUGUCAGAACAUAGAAGCCUCUCUGGAGAGAAGAGACACCUGGACCAGGCCAGACCUGCGGGUGGUGUUAGGGUUUGAAAAGAGUAAGGGGAACUGACAAUGGUGAGAAGCACUUUGAAGA